rnacentral:rRNA from 1 species
UACGAAGGGGGCUAGCGUUGCUCGGAAUCACUGGGCGUAAAGCGCACGUAGGCGGAUUGCUAAGUCAGGGGUGAAAUCCUGGAGCUCAACUCCAGAACUGCCUUUGAUACUGGCAACCUUGAGUCCGGGAGAGGUGAGUGGAACUGCGAGUGUAGAGGUGAAAUUCGUAGAUAUUCGCAAGAACACCAGUGGCGAAGGCGGCUCACUGGCCCGAUACUGACGCUGAGGCGCGAAAGCGUGGGGAGCAAACAGGG